rnacentral:SRP_RNA from 1 species
UCUGGGCAGGGGUAGCGGCUGUCUGUAACCCGAGCGGGAGUAGGAGAGAUGGGAGCUGGGGCCUCUGGCAGAGGGCCGCCGGGAUCAUGUGGAAGGCACGUCCACGCGAAGCGUGGAGUCUCCGGUCCGGGCUCCUCCGCUGAAGCGAGAGAGGAGUCCACGGAGAUGAUGCGGAAGGCACAGCGUCAGGCGGGCGACCGAGCAGCGAUCACUUCGCGCUCUGCGCAGUCGAGGGCCAGCGUGCUCGAAUGCUCGCCGGCGAUCAUCCCACGCCAGAAGCCUCCUGCCACCUCUCUCUA